UCCCUGAAGGAUCUGAAGGAAAAAUCUCAAUCGGAGGGCGGUGGCCAGAAAUGGAGCUAGGUCACAGGUGGGUCACAGAGGCAAGCAUUGUGGUGACUACAAAGAUGUCACAUUUGGAGCAGCCCUCACUACCCAACACAAGUGACCAGCUGGCAGGGAGAGAAUGCACUGAGAAUAUACUGUUCAGCCGACGUGAGGAUCCAAUCCAUUAAACAGUUACAUGCCAUGAUGUAAAUUAAUAAAUUCGUAUUCUGAUUUUAUCAUCGGCCUCAUCUGGGCUCCAAAGGCGUGAGUCAGCAUCCCUGGGUCUAAUCAAUGUGGAAGCUCUAAAUAUCAAGCUUCUGGAGUGAAAACCAAGGAAGUAGAACCAGCCAGAGUGAAAUCACCAAGCAAGAGAUAACUGAUACACAGAGGAAAAGGAAGCACAUUCCUUGGGAUUUCCCUUUGCCAGAAGACUUGAAAGAGAUAGGAUGUCUAUUUUUUCUGCUUCUUCUCAAACUACCACAGCAGGAACUGGCCUUCAACUGUCACUAAUAAAAUAAUGGUGAGAGCAGAUAUUCUUUUUCUUUCAGUAUCUGCCAUGAGCUAGUUGUCAUAUCCAACACUUUAUAUCCACUGAUAUCAUAAUCUUGAAGAUCCGGUGGUGGCCAUUACUGCCCUUAGUUUAUGGAUGGGCAAGUCCAGACUCAGCCUGGGUAAAGCAGCUAAGGAAAUGCGGACAGAAAGGGGUAGAGAUGGGAUUUAAGCCUACAUCCUUCUAAGUGGUCCAUCCAGUCUACUUGAGGUCCAUCUGGUGGAUUAACACAUCUGAUAAAUGUAAGCGCAGGCCCUUCCGUUCCCUUAUUCCCGAGAACCAUUUCUCAUGACAUGUGUGUGACUUUUCUAGAGACACAGCUUCCACGGAGAUUGCCUGUUCCCAAGGGAAUGGAAUGGGCUCUGCUCCGUUCUCAGAAACCUUUGUGUGAUUCCCCCACAGUCUUUCUACCCUGAGAAAUGCCCUGGCCAAAAAAAAAA
rnacentral:sRNA from 1 species